rnacentral:rRNA from 1 species
UUUAAGGUCUAACCUGCCCAAUGAGGAUUUAAAUGGCCGCAGUAUUUUGACUGUGCAAAGGUAGCAUAAUUAUUAGUUUUUUAAUUGAAAGCUUGUAUGAAGGGUUGGACGAGAUGAAAUCUGUCUUUAUUUAAAUUAAAAUAUAAUUUAACUUUUAAGUAAAAAGGCUUAAAUGUUUAUAAAAGACGAGAAGACCCUAUAGAUCUUUAUUUAAUUAAAAUUUCAAUAAUUUAGGAUUAUUUUAAUUUAAAGUUUUAAUUAAAUUUUAUUGGGGUAAUAUAAAGAUUAAAUAAAUUCUUUUUAUUUAUAACAUUGAUUUAUGAAUAUAUGAUCCAUUAAUAUUGAUUAUAAGAUUAAGUUACCUUAGGGAUAACAGCGUAAUUUUUUUGGAGAGCUCAUAUCGAUAAAAAAGUUUGCGACCUCGAUGUUGGAUUAAAAAUUAGCUUGGGUGCAGAAGCUCAAGAUUUUGGUCUGUUCGACCAUUAAAUUUUUACAUGAUCUGAGUUCAGACCGGCGUGAGCCAGGUCGGUUUCUAUCUUUAUUAAGAUAAAAUAUUUUAGUACGAAAGGACCAAAUAUUUAAUAUAAUUAUAUUUAUUUUUU